rfam:Triticum aestivum genome assembly, contig: Triticum_aestivum_CS42_TGACv1_scaffold_049576_1BS
GUAGUAUUCCCUCCGUCCCAAAAUUGUUCUCGUACAUUUGUUUAGAUACGGAUGUAUCUAACACUAAAAUGUAACUAGAUACAUCCGUAUUUAGACAAAUUUAAGACAAGAAUUUUGGGACGGAGGGAGUACAAA